rnacentral:tRNA from 1 species
GGCUCAGUGGUCUAGUGGUAUGAUUCCUGCUUCGGGCUCGCACCCUUCCAUCGUACAUGGGAAUGCAGGAGGCCCCGGGUUCGAAUCCCGGCUGAGCCC